UGAGCCCCUGUGCCCAGUCGAGGUCCUCUUUUUACAUAGUAUGUACUGAACCAUCACACCAACAUUGUAUCUGAUUUUUGCAUUAGAAAAUUUUUUUUUCUGGAAAAUAAAAAUAUUUUUAUUGAAUUUGCCUAGGAAAUCUAGGGAGAUCUGGAACAUAUUCUCCUCUGAGCUAUUUUAUAUGACUGUAUCUCAAGUCAUUCUCGAAUUUCUCUGUCUCUUUUUUCCAUCCAAACUGUGCUCAGUAUAAAUUACCAGGUUGUCCCAGGGACUUUAACCCUGUGUGUGGCAGUGACACGUCCACUUAUCCCAAUGAAUGUACUCUGUGCAUGAAAAUCAUGGAAGAUGGUCAUGAUAUUAAAAUCAUCCAAAAUGAACCCUGCUAAUGGAGCAGUUUACAGAAAAGAAGAUGGAGUUACCACCUUGAUUGGCACACUAGAUAAAUCGCAUUUCCUCUUUUUCUCUUUUCCUAUGUUUCUUUGCACGAGAUUUGUUAACCCACAUUUUCUAAGAGGAGAUAUGGAAGACAGCCAUGUGUAGUGAUGGAUAAUUUAAAGAAAGAAAGAAUCUUCCUUUCUUGGCUUUUGCUCCUAGAGUUAAGCUUACUGCCUAGAUGACUUGUGCAUUGGUUUAUUCAGUUGAAAUAAAAUCAGCAUUGAAUUCAGUU